UGGCCCAGAUCGUUUACCGUGAAAAAAUUAGAGUGUUCAAAGCAGGCAGAUCCAAUUUUCUGCCACCGAAUACAUUAGCAUGGGAUAAUGGAAUAGGACCCUGUCCUCCUAUUUUCAGUUGGUUUGCCGCGAGGACCAGGGUAAUGAUUAAUAGGGAUAGUUGGGGGCAUUAAUAUUUAAUUGUCAGAGGUGAAAUUCUUGGAUUUAUGAAAGAUUAACUUCUGCGAAAGCAUCUGCCAAGGAUGUUUUCAUUAAUCAAGAACGAAAGUUAGGGGAUCGAAGACGAUCAGAUACCGUCGUAGUCUUAACCAUAAACGAUGCCGACCAGCGAUUAGGAGACGUUGAAUACAAAACACCACCAUGCGCAUUGCGGUCGUCUUUGGUGUCGCUCACAAGGCGGCACCGGGGCGGCUUAGCUCGCAUGGCACCGGUGAAUGACUCCCCUAGCAGCUUGUGAGA
rnacentral:rRNA from 2 species